UAGGGAAUCUUCGGCAAUGGGGGGAACCCUGACCGAGCAACGCCGCGUGAGUGAAGAAGGUUUUCGGAUCGUACAGCUCUGUUGUUAAGGAAGAACGAGUGUGAGAAUGGAAAGUUCAUACUGUGACGGUACUUAACCAGAAAGGGACGGCUAACUACGUGCCAGCAGCCGCGGUAAUACGUAGGUCCCGAGCGUUGUCCGGAUUUAUUGGGCGUAAAGCGAGCGCAGGCGGUUAGAAAAGUCUGAAGUGAACGGCAGUGGCUCAACCAUUGUAGGCUUUGGAAACUGUUUAACUUGAGUGCAGAAGGGGAGAGGGGAAUUCCAUGUGUAGCGGUGAAAUUCGUAGAUAUAUGGAGGAACACCGGUGGCGAAAGCGGCUCUCUGGUAUGUAACUGACGCUGAGGCUAGAAAGCGUGGGGAGCGAACAGG
rnacentral:rRNA from 1 species